AUAGCCCCUUCGUACGAAAGGAGUUGGGUAUAUUGACCUAUGGUUUACCUGUUGUUUAUGCUAUAUAUUAUAUAUUAUAUAAUAUAUCGUUUACUUAUACUUAAGUAAAUUGUUCACAUAGGCAUGGCAGGAAGGCUACGUCAGUUAAAGAUAAGUGCUGAAAGCAUUUAAGCGCGAAGCUUA
rnacentral:ncRNA from 1 species